rnacentral:rRNA from 1 species
UACGUAGGGGGCCAGCGUUGUCCGGAAUCAUUGGGCGUAAAGCGCGCGUAGGCGGUCAGGUAAGUCCGGUGUGAAAGUCAAAGGCUCAACCUUUGAAUGCCGCUGGAUACUGCUUGACUUGAGUCCGGAAGGGGCGAGUGGAAUUCCUGGUGUAGCGGUGAAAUGCGCAGAUAUCUGGAGGAACACCGGUGGCGAAGGCGGCAUCCUGGACCAAAUCUGACGCUGAGGAGCGAAAGCCAGGGGAGCAAACGGG